rnacentral:tRNA from 1 species
GGCGAUAUGGUGUAGGGGUUAUCAUUAUCGACUCUCACUCGAUAGACCCGAGUUCGAAUCUCGGUAUCGUCA